UACGUAGGGGGCAAGCGUUGUCCGGAAUCAUUGGGCGUAAAGAGCGUGUAGGCGGCUUGAUAAGUCAGCUGUGAAAGUCAAGGGCUCAACCCUUGAAAGCCGGUUGAUACUGUCGGGCUAGAGUCCGGAAGAGGCGAGUGGAAUUCCCGGUGUAGCGGUGAAAUGCGCAGAUAUCGGGAAGAACACCCGUGGCGAAGGCGGCUCUCUGGGACGGUACUGACGCUGAGACGCGAAAGCGUGGGGAGCGAACAGG
rnacentral:rRNA from 1 species